rnacentral:rRNA from 1 species
CGUGUAGGCGGUCGGUCAAGUCCGAUGUGAAAGCCCGGGGCUCAGCCUCGGAAGUGCAUCGGAAACUAGCCGGCUGGAGCGCGAUAGAGGAGGGUAGAAUUCCUGGUGUAGCGGUGAAAUGCGUAGAUAUCAGGAGGAAUACCGGCGGCGAAGGCGGCCCUCUGGAUCGUUGCUGACGCUGAGACGCGAAAGCGUGGGGGAGCAAACAGGAUUAGAUACCCUGGUAGUCCACGCGGUAAACGAUGGGUACUAGGUGUUCGGGGUAUUGACCCCCUGAGUGCCGCAGCUAACGCAUUAAGUACCCCGCCUGGGGACUACGGCCGCAAGGUUAAA